CCUGCUCAAUGAAAUAUUUAAAUAGCCGCAAUUACUGUGCUAAGGUAGCAUAAUCAUUUGUUUUUUAAUUAAAAACUAGAAUGAAAGGUUUAACGUUUUAAUUAUCUAUCAUUAAUACUUAUUUAAAAUUAUAUUAAAUAUAAAAAUAUAUUUAUUCAAAAAAUAGACGAUAAGACCCUAUUGAAUUUUACUACUAUGUUUAGCUGGGGCAGCUAAUUAAUAAAAAUUUUAAAUUAUUAUAUUCUCUAAAUAUUCCAAUAUAAUUGAUUUUAUAAUCAAAUUACCAUAGGGAUAACAGCGUAAUAUUAUUUUAAAGUUCUUAUUCAAAAUAAUGUUUGCGACCUCGAUGUUGAAUUAUUAUCCUUUAUCUAACGCAAUAGUUAUAAAAGUAGGUCUGUUCGACCUUUAAUAUAUUACA
rnacentral:rRNA from 1 species